rnacentral:rRNA from 1 species
GACGAACGCUGGCGGCGUGCCUAAUACAUGCAAGUAGAACGCUGAAGGAGGAGCUUGCUUCUCUGGAUGAGUUGCGAACGGGUGAGUAACGCGUAGGUAACCUGCCUGGUAGCGGGGGAUAACUAUUGGAAACGAUAGCUAAUACCGCAUAAGAGUAGAUGUUGCAUGACAUUUGCUUAAAAGGUGCAAUUGCAUCACUACCAGAUGGACCUGCGUUGUAUUAGCUAGUUGGUGGGGUAACGGCUCACCAAGGCGACGAUACAUAGCCGACCUGAGAGGGUGAUCGGCCACACUGGGACUGAGACACGGCCCAGACUCCUACGGGAGGCAGCAGUAGGGAAUCUUCGGCAAUGGACGGAAGUCUGACCGAGCAACGCCGCGUGAGUGAAGAAGGUUUUCGGAUCGUAAAGCUCUGUUGUAAGAGAAGAACGAGUGUGAGAGUGGAAAGUUCACACUGUGACG